rnacentral:tRNA from 1 species
UAGCUCAGCUGGUUAGAGCGCACGGCUGUUAACCGUGAGGUCGGAGGUUCAAGUCCUCUCCGGGA